UGGAUGCAUAUUUAGAUUACUCAAUUAACGGAAUAGCCUGUAGGUCUGGGAUUAUCAGCAGGUAGUUCCCUGCAGGUAGAAAAAACACAUAAUGCCUUGUAAUCAUCCUAAAAGGUAAAUGGUUGAGGUUAUAGGAGUUUACCUCAACAAAUGAAGAAGUACCAAUAAGACCAUUUAAUUAUUCAGCUAACUCUGCCCUUCCAAUUACAGC